rnacentral:rRNA from 1 species
AACGAACGCUGGCGGCAGGCUUAACACAUGCAAGUCGAGCGAGACCUUCGGGUCUAGCGGCGGACGGGUGAGUAACGCGUGGGAACGUGCCCUUCUCUACGGAAUAGCCCCGGGAAACUGGGAGUAAUACCGUAUACGCCCUUUGGGGGAAAGAUUUAUCGGAGAAGGAUCGGCCCGCGUUGGAUUAGGUAGUUGGUGGGGUAAUGGCCCACCAAGCCCACGAUCCAUAGCUGGUUUGAGAGGAUGAUCAGCCACACUGGGACUGAGACACGGCCCAGACUCCUACGGGAGGCAGCAGUGGGGAAUCUUAGACAAUGGGGGCAACCCUGAUCUAGCCAUGCCGCGUGAGUGAUGAAGGCCUUAGGGUUGUAAAGCUCUUUCAGCUGGGAAGAUAAUGACGGUACCAGCAGAAGAAGCCCCGGCUAACUCCGUG